rnacentral:lncRNA from 1 species
UUUAUUCUAGUUUAUUACUGUAGUCAUUUAUUUUUUUUCCUAAAAUUUAGAUGGGUUAUUUAUUUUUUUGCAUUUUUAUAUUAGUACAAUCUUUUAAAUAGGUAUUGAUGUGUUUUAUGUUAACUUAGGUCCAAUGGAAAAUGGUGGGAACUUAUAUGUCUGAGGCCUUCCAUGUGUGUAGCCUAACAUAGGCAAGAUUAUAGGCAAACUCAUAUCAAAGGCCAAGAUCCAAAACUCUAAUAUCUUGAAACAUAACUGGACCACAUCGGUUAAUUAAACAAAAUUUUUCUCUUUCAUGUGUAGGUUGUGUCUCG